rnacentral:lncRNA from 1 species
UGGUUAGUGGGGUACAGGCAAAUGUUUAAAUACAUUGCACAUGUUUCACUUACAAUUGCUUGUAGGUAGCGACAAAUAGUGGAUGAAGAAGUAAAAGGACGACAUCACCAACGAUGAACAAUAAAUGCAGCAGCAGACGGUGAUGGUAGAGGCAGCAAUGGCGUUUGCUUACUUUCUACUAUGAUGGAUGUCUAAAACUAUGGAGAUAUGGACAUGGUGGCUAGUGGCUACACUUAAAUGCCACAGUUGUGUAUUUAAAAUUAGAUUUGUCCAAAAUGAGGUUGUUUUGAGCUUUAAAAAAAUUAUGCUGCACAAAAAAGAUAACUAACCGGUUCAACAGAGUCACCAGUUUUCAUGUAACUCGACCAAGUCAGGCCGGUUGUCACCAGUUCUGAAGCAUAAACAAUCCAACAUGUGGCUCGGACAGGACUGGUGGUCGAUUCCCAAUCCAAUCGGUUGAAUCGGCCGGUGCAAGCCAGUUUUCACAACCACGGAAAAAAGUCACCAAAAUAGGGAUUUGAUUUAAAAAAGAAUCUAGAAUGAGGAAUUGUCACCGUUGAGACUAAAUUACCCCUUCCUUUUGUCAUCAUCCUCUAUAACCACACCAUUACCAUCUUGACCCUUCAACCAAAACCCUCAACAUUCCAACUCUUCUUUGCUUUCUUCAACCAUCAGAAUACAAAAUCAACUUCAGUAUGAGGCAUGCUAGGGUAGGGGUUUGCACUUCUUUCAAACGACGUCGUUUCUACUUUACCCUAAACGACCCAAGUAUUUUGGCCUAGCCCUUACCGGUUGCUAUCUAAGAAAGGAAAAAACAAUUAACAUCAAAUCCAGCUACGAAGUAUCUGCAUUUAGGGGAUUUGGUUUUGGUUUUGGGUUUGAAGAAGAAAAUAUUUGAUUUUGAGAAAAAGGUGUGAAUUAGAGAGUUGGAGGGUAGGGAAGUUGAAGUGUGAGACUAAGAAGUGAUUGAGAGAGAAUUCAUGGUGGUCUGAGACAAUGAGAGAGAGAGAGUGAAAGAGGAAAGGUUGUGGGGAAGAAGAUAAAAAGGAUUUGGGGGUAAAACAUUGAAGAAGAUAAACCAAACGGUGUC